rnacentral:rRNA from 1 species
AACAAACGCUGGCGGCGUGCCUAAUACAUGCAAGUCGAACGGUGAAAGCUUUCGGGUGAGUACUAGUGGCGCACGGGUGAGUAACGCGUGGAUAAUCUGCCUUAGAGUGGGGGAUAACUAGUCGAAAGAUUAGCUAAUACCGCAUAAGACCACAAGAACUGCGGUUCAAGGGGUCAAAGGUUUUUCGCUCUAAGAUGAGUCCGCGUAAGAUUAGCUAGUUGGUAGGGUAACGGCCUACCAAGGCGACAAUCUUUAACUGGUCUGAGAGGAUGAUCAGUCACACUGGAACUGAGACACGGUCCAGACUCCUACGGGAGGCAGCAGUAGGGAAUAUUGCACAAUGGAGGAAACUCUGAUGCAGCGACGCCGCGUGAGUGAUGAAGGCCUUCGGGUCGUAAAGCUCUGUCGCAGGGGAAUAACACAAUGAAGGUACCCUGUAAGAAAGGAUCGGCUAACUUCGUGCCAGCCGCCGCAGUAACAC